rnacentral:rRNA from 1 species
GAAACCCUGCCCCGAUCUCAGGAAUAACAGUGGGAAACCACUGCUAAUACCGGAUGCCUUCCUCGAGUCUCAUGACUUGACGAAGAAAGGUUUACCGGAUCGGGAGGGUCUCGCGGCCUAUCAGCUUGUUGGCGGGUAACGGCCCACCAAGGCGUCGACGGGUAGCUGGUCUGAGAGGAUGACCAGCCACACUGGGACUGAGACACGGCCCAG